AUGGAGACAUGGCCGGAGCCGGGCCACCAGGAACAGAUGCAGGAGUGGCCGGAGCCGGGCCACCAGGAACUGAUGCAGGCGUGGCCGGAGCCGGGCCACCAGGAACCGAUGCAGGCGUGGCCGGUGCCGGGCCCUCAGGAACCGAUGCAAGCGUGGCAGGUGCCAAGCCACCAGGAACCGAUGCAGAUGCGGCAGGCACCGGACCACCAGGAGCGGAGACGAGCGUGGCCGGGACUGGACCACCAAGAGCGGAGACGAGCGUGGCCGGGACCGGACCACCAUGAGCGGAGACAAGCGUGGCCGGGACCGGACCACCAGGAGCUGAGGCAGAUGCGAUCUGUGCCAGAUCACCAGGAAUCGCUGCAGAUGCGGGCGGUGCUGGACCACCAAGAGCUGCACCUGCACACAUUGACCCAAAAAACACGGGAACCAGAAGCGGGCCGACCACCUCCCGCCCACCGGGGACUGGAACGUCAGGAGCUGAAGCUGGGACGACCUCCUCAUCCUGGAGGCCAGCAGGAAAUGAAGCUGGACCGACCUCCUCAUCCUGGAGACCGGCAGGAAACAAAGCUGGACCGACCUCCUCCGGGAGGCCAGCAGGAGACAGAAACGCGGGAAAUGCGGCAGGCGCUGCGGCAGGAUCGACCCCCUCCUAGGGAUCAUCGGGAACCGCGGCAGGCGCUGCGGCAGGUGCUGCGGCAGGCGCCUCUCCGAGGCCGACAGUGGCAGGAAGUAGAACGACCUCAACCGGGAGGUCGACCGGAACUGGAACAACCUCAAUUGGGAGGUCGACAUGAACUGGAACGACCUCAACCGGGAGGUCGACAUGAACUGGAACAACCUCAACCGGGAGGUCGACAGGAACUGGAACGACCCCAACAGGGAGGUCGACAGGGACUGGAGCCUGGUUUGGCUGGCAAGGGGUGUCCACUAGCUGGCGUAAAGCUGGAGCUUGAGCUUGACGUGGCUGAGCUGAGGCUUGAGCUGGAGCUUGAGCUUGAGCUUGCGCUUGAGCUUGACGUGGCUGAGUUAAGGCUAAGGCAGGAGUGGCUGCAGCCUGAGACGCUGGAGUGGCUGCAGCCUGAGACGCUGGAGUGGCUGCAGCCUGAGACGCUGGAGUGGCUGCAGCCUGAGACGCUGGAGUGGCUGCAGCCUGAGACGCUGGGGCCAGUGGUGCAGCCUGAGAUGCUGGGGCCAGUGAUGCAGCCUGAGAUGCUGGGGCCAGUGAUGCAGACAGAGACGCUGGGGCCAGUGAUGCAGACAGAGACGCUGGGGCCAGUGAUGCAGCCAGAGACGCUGGGACCAGUGCAGGCUGAGACGCAGGAACGGAUGCAGGCUGAGACGCAGGAACGGAUGCAGGCUGAGACGCAGGAACGGAUGCAGGCUGAGACGCAGGAACGGAUGCAGGCUGAGACGCAGGAACGGAUGCAGGCUGAGACGCAGGAACGAGUGCGGGCUUAG
rnacentral:lncRNA from 1 species